UACGUAGGCAGCGAGCGUUGUUCGGAAUUACUGGGCGUAAAGAGUGUGUAGGCGGUGCUAUAAGUUCGGUGUGAAAUCUCCCGGCUCAACUGGGAGGGUGCGCCGAAAACUGUAGUGCUCGAACGUGGGAGAGGAAAGCGGAAUUCCUGGUGUAGCGGUGAAAUGCGCAGAUAUCAGGAGGAACACCAAUGGCGAAGGCAGCUCGCUGGGACGGUACUGACGCUGAGGCGCGAAAGCGUGGGGAGCAAACAGG
rnacentral:rRNA from 1 species